UUCUUCUGUAAGUUGCACAUUCAGUAAAAUUAUUCAUGCUUUAUAUGAUGUUGUGAUGUGGAAUACUGAUAGCAAAAUUACAAAAUUAUUAAACCAUGACACAUGUAAACCAUAUAUAGGUUGUGAGUAAGUUUUACCAAGCAAGACUGUAGCUGCUGAGAGUCUGAGAAAGGACUUUUAAUGGAAUAAGGAAAAUAUCUCCUAAAUCAAUAUAGCAAAGAGAGCAAGUUUUUUGUUUUUUGUUUUGGUUUUUUUUUUUACUCAUUAUCUUCUAUUUAAAGAAUCGUUUAAGUGUAUUCCAUGUACCUCCUAAAGUUUUGGGGAUUUAUUGCUGAAAAUGUCUGGCACUUAUGUUUGGUGACCCUAUAAGAUACUUUUAUGUUAAUCUUUCUCAAAAGGGAGUGUGCUUCUGCAAACAGUUAUGUGCAGGGUGAGGCUACAUGCAAAGCUUAACCCAGGUCCCAGUUGCAAACAUUCAGGCUCAAGCUUGAACUCCUUUGUCUAAUUACGCUUUCUCAGAGGGCUGCUGUAAAGCAUAAUUCAUUGAUUUUAGAGGGGUCUUGAAUGGACUUGUAGGUAUCUCUCCACAUCUAUUGCUUUUAAUUUAGGCUUUCUAAAAGGCCUCAUUCUCAUUGGACUAAUUCUCAUUCUCUGGCCAAGUUUUCUGUGCCCUUAGUGGAUCAGAACAUUGCUAGCUGUAGCAUUUUGACAUGUAGAUGCGUGGAAAGCACUGCUCCCACACUUUUUUACUUUCUCUUCCAAGGAAUAAAAUGAAGAAUUUGAUAAUGGAGUUGGUGGUACUUCCACUUUUGUAAAUGGAUGUGGAAGAAGCUGCUAUUGCAACAAGUCCCUCCAUCUGUGAACCCAGCAAGGUGUUUUGGGCAGACACGUUCUCAUAACCUUUGUGCGCCUUCGGCUUUGGAGGUCCUAAAGCUGCUAUUGUUCAGUCAGUUUCCAAGCUCAAGAAGAAUGUUUUCUUCAUAAAGAAUAUGUUAAAUAUUACCAGAAUUUCAGCAUCAGUUUUAUAUUUCAGGCAUACGAUUUGGCAUGUUCUGUAGAUGACGAUACAUAGCUUUUAAGUUAUGAUUUAAUUUAGAUUUUUUAAAUUAAAAAAG
rnacentral:lncRNA from 1 species